AUAAAUUUCUUAAUUGUCAUACUUUAUUUUUCAAUUAAUUUUCAUGCAUUUGGUGAUUACUUAGCACGAUAAAUGUCAACCAUAUGAUCGUUAUUCAUGAAUACAAAACAAUCCAAAACCUUCAUUCACAAAUCACAAGUAUACGAUGAGCUAUUUAGAAAUUCGACAUUUUCGUCAUCCCAAUAGCACUUGGGAUACUAUGCUAGAAUUCUAUUAUAGCACCAGUUAAGAGAUGUGAAGCUUGAAGAACUUCUCUUUAGGAAGUGUUAGCUAAUCCGUUUAAUUGCUCAAAGAAAUUAGCCAUUUUUGUCAUCUAGAUUGGAUAACCUAGGAAGAAUGUUAGAAUGAUUGAUCAUAUUUGUUAGCCCUAUGUUUUUUUAUUGCAUAAUGAUGGAAUUGAUGCGUCAUUUAGUCAUAGUAAUUGAUGUAAUAGGUACGUAUCAACUGCUGCAUCAUAUAAUUAUUCAAAACGCCCCUUUUAGCAUUUCAUUACCAUUUGCACUUCUUUGUUAGCAAUUUGGAUACCUUAUCCCCAAUUUUCAAGAUCUUGCAAAAUAAUGUGACAUUGCCUCUCUAUUUAUCUUAACAUUGGCUCUCUGUUUUUGGUAUCUUUAUUUAUCUCUUCAAGAGAUGAGUGCAUGGUUGUCACAUAAUCACAUUACAUGUUUCUUUAUCAAACUGUAUACGAUUUCUGAUUCUUUCACGUCUUAGACAAUAUAAGGAUCUUGAACCUGAAGAAGACAACAAAUGUCAGGCAGCGAUGUACUGGUGAAAUACAAGCAUCAGUAUUUCAUUGGAAAAUCAGGUGCAAUACAGGUGUUUUUAUCUGCAAAAAAUUCAGAUAUGGUGUCUUAAUAACUUUCUCAUGCUAUUCUAUUUGAUUCUUUAAUCAAAGUUUUGUAGUUUUUAGAUUUGGUGGAUCUUAGUAAAUUAGGUAGUAAAAAGUGCUCUUUUGCUUAUUCUCAAUGUAGUCAAAUUUUGUCAAGACGAUUUGAGUGGGGAAAAACAAUGUCAAACAUACGUCGUAUAUAUAAACGUUUCUUUUGGUUGUGAAGAUACACUAUGGAGUGUGUGCAUAUUUGAAUUUUCAGUUUCCUCGAGUGUAUUCAAUCUCCCAUUUCUUUAUAGAGACCUCACGUAGUACUUAAUUUAAGAUGCAUGCUUCAGUACAAUCGAAUGGAAAAAAAUUAAAAAAAUACCAUUGCAAUGUUGGUAUUUCGUAUAUCUUAUUUAUAACUACGUUUUCUAUUGCAAAUUAUCGCCACAACAAUUUAUAUGCGCGAUGUCCAUGUGGCGAUUAUGCAUGCAUUAUUUUCUUCCAAGUGAGGAUACGCUUUAAUUUGUUCCUCCCUCAUUUUUCAGGUGCAGAGUGGUGCUGAAAGUUUUUCUCAUUAUGCUCCUAUGCCCGGUUGGUCUGGUGUAUAUGACAUGCAGUGAGCUCAGGGACACAGAUAGGGAAGCAGAGUAUUUUUUGCAACCACAUCUUUUGUAAUCAGCUUGGUUGAAUGUAUAUAAAAACUAAGCUGCUUAUCUUA